rnacentral:tRNA from 1 species
CAGAAUAUAGCUUAUUUAGAGCAUUUCAUUUACACUGAAAUGGAUAUCACGAGAAUGGUGAUUGUUUUGA